GACGAACGCUGGCGGCGUGCUUAACACAUGCAAGUCGAACGAAGUGGCGAACGGGUGAGUCACGCGUACUCAACCUGCCCUUCAGAGGGGGACAACAGUUGGAAACGACUGCUCAUACCGCAUACUGAAGGCGGGGAUUGCGGCUGAUUAGCUAGUUGGAGGGGUAACGGCCAACAAAGGCGAUGAUCAGUAGCGGGUCCGAGAGGAUGAACGGCCACAUUGGGACUGAUAAACGGCCCAGACUCCUACGGGAGGCAGCAGGGGGGAAUCUUCCGCAAUGGACGAAAGUCUGACGGAGCAACGCCGCGUGAGUGAUGACGGCCUUCGGGUUGUAAAGUUUUGUUAAUCGGGACGCGGUACCGGAAUAGAAAGACACGGCUAACUACGUGCCAGCAGCGGCGGUAAUAC
rnacentral:rRNA from 1 species